ACACCGGCGGCCCGAGUGGUGAUCGUGAUUAUUGGGUCUAAAGGGUCCGUAGCCGGUUUGGUCAGUCUUCCGGGAAAUCUGACGGCUCAACCGUUAGGCUUUCGGGGGAUACUACCAGGCUUGGGACCGGGAGAGGUAAGAGGUACUACGGGGGUAGGAGUGAAAUCUUGUAAUCCCUGUGGGACCACCAGUGGCGAAGGCGUCUUACCAGAACGGGUCCGACGGUGAGGGACGAAAGCUGGGGGCAC
rnacentral:rRNA from 1 species